rnacentral:rRNA from 1 species
GACGAACACUGGCGGCGUGCUUAACACAUGCAAGUCGAACGGAAAGGCCCUGCUUUUGUGGGGUGCUCGAGUGGCGAACGGGUGAGUAACACGUGAGUAACCUGCCCUUGACUUUGGGAUAACUUCAGGAAACUGGGGCUAAUACCGGAUAGGAGCUCCUGCUGCAUGGUGGGGGUUGGAAAGUUUCGGCGGUUGGGGAUGGACUCGCGGCUUAUCAGCUUGUUGGUGGGGUAGUGGCUUACCAAGGCCUUGACGGGUAGCCGGCCUGAGAGGGUGACCGGCCACAUUGGGACUGAGAUACGGCCCAGACUCCUACGGGAGGCAGCAGUGGGGAAUAUUGCACAAUGGGCGGAAGCCUGAUGCAGCAACGCCGCGUGCGGGAUGACGGCCUUCGGGUUGUAAACCGCUUUCGCCUGUGACGAAGCGUGAGUGACGGUAAUGGGUAAAGAAGCACCGGCUAACUACGUG